GUCUCCUUGGGACAGUGGUUACUCCGCGACCUUGCUAAGGUCGUGCGCUCUGCGCUCGCAGGUUCGAAUCCUGCAGGUGACG
rfam:Protomyces lactucaedebilis strain 12-1054 BCR37scaffold_7, whole genome shotgun sequence.